GCAAACUUGGUCAUUUAGAGGAAGUAAAAGUCGUAACAAGGUUUCCGUAGGUGAACCUGCGGAAGGAUCAUUACUGAGAGGGGUUACGCACCCCUUAGAGGGCGGUCUCCGACCCUCGGUUCUCAACCCUUGACUACUUACGCUCUGUUGCUUUGGCGAGCCUCGGGGUCAUACUCGUGCCGGUUCGCCGGCGAGCGUUCGUCAAAAGCCACCUCUAAAAUUCUUUAUUUCGUAAAGUCAGAGUCUUAGAAAAGAAGUGAAAAACUUUCAACAACGGAUCUCUUGGUUCUGGCAUCGAUGAAGAACGCAGC
rnacentral:misc_RNA from 1 species